GGGGUAUAUAUUAACGGCCGCGGUAUUUUGACCGUGCGAAGGUAGCAUAAUCAUUUGUCUUAUAAUUGAAGACUGGAAUGAAAGAAUUUACGAAGGAGAAUCUGUCUUUAUUAAGUUAUUAAAAUUUAUUGUUAAAGUGAAGAAACUUUUAAGAAAAAAUUAGACAAGAAGACCCUAUUGAGCUUUACUUUUUUUAUUUAUAAAAUAUAUUUAAAUUUUAUUUUUAUAUUUAAAAUUAGUUUGAUUGGGGCGAUUGAGGAAAUAUUUUAUAAACUUCCUUUUUUUUUUUAACUUAUUAGUGUUUGAUCCAUUAUUUAUGAUUAAAAGAAAAAGUUACCAUAGGGAUAACAGCGUAAUCUUUUUUUAGAGUUCUUAUCAAAAAAAAGGUUUGCGACCUCGAUGUUGGACUAAA
rnacentral:rRNA from 1 species